rnacentral:misc_RNA from 1 species
AAAAAAAAAAAAAAAAAAAAACGAGAGGCUAUAUGAUCAGGAAAGAAAUAUUUUGUCACCCAAAAAAGGGAGUGUGCUGCUACUUCUCUAAAUAGUUCUUCGCUGGUGUUUCAGAAUUCUCAAAAGUCUUCAAAAUUUUCUCUCCUAUUGGUCAAAAGAAUGAGAUUCUCAACUUCUUUAAGCUUAAUUUGCAUUUAUCCCUCCAAGUGCGUAGAAGUUGGUUAAAUGUAAAUGGAGGUUAACUGGCUAACCUAAUAACAUGGUUUUAGAGUUUAUUCUAGCUUGGAAUUGGAAGGUUAGUGGAGCCAAUUAUUUACAUACGUUAAGCUUCUAGAGUAUAGAGUAAUGCCCAUUUUUCCUAACCCCCAAAUUGGCAGUUAAAGGACUUAAUGUAAAGUUUUAAAUACUUUUACACAAGUUUAUCUCCUACUCCUUUUUAUUUUUUCAUUUUUUUUGAACCUCCAAAUUAGUUCUUUUAUAUUCCAUUUCCUUUUCCGUCCUUUACAUUCGCUAACAUUCCUUUCCAUUGCUUACAUACUUUGCAUUGACCUAGUUUAUCCCAAAUUGGCUUUCAAUAAACACCAUAUUUCUCGCCAAUCACAAGGUAGGCCUACUCAACUGUUAGAUUCCAAUAAUAUUUCGUAAAUCCUAUCAUUGAAUAAUUUAAUUGCUCUGUGUAAUUACUUUUGAAUGAUCUAAAUAACCUUCUUGAUAUACUUGUCUGGUUAAUUUCUCUUUAGACUUUUUAGACAGGAUAUCUUUGGUAGCCUUUUAUGCUUUUAUGGAGUGUUUCAUGGGUUCUUCAAAAGUGUGGAUGAACUUGUUCUGUGUGUUAGCUUGUGUAUUGUUUGUUUUGUUAUUGUUAUUAUUAUUAGUACAAGUAAAUAGACACAGCCAUGGUCCAGUCCAGAUUAAAUUGGGAUUUGUUUUAAAAAAAAUGAAAAAAGAUUCAACUGUCUGAUUGGCUCAAACCGGAACCAAAGCCAGUGGGAACCUGCUGUUCAGUCUUGGGCCCCUAGUUCCACUGAUUGAACUGCUAGUUCUGACACAGAACUGGCUUGUGGAUGGGACUACAUGUAAAGGCACCCAACGGAAAAGAGCGGGGCUUUUUUGUGUGGAUAACUAAAGUUCCAUUGAUUGUAAAGUAAUUCUGGUAUUUUUAA